GCACUGCUGAUUAGUCCCAAAAUAGGACGAAACGGACGUCGAGUGC
rfam:Schistosoma curassoni strain Dakar, Senegal genome assembly, scaffold: SCTD_contig0000228